GGAGGGAAAGGGGAAGAGGAAGGGGCAGUGUGUCGGCAGUCCAGAGGGCGAGGUCGCUGCCGCGGGGAAGGCGGAGACGGAGGCGGAGGAGGAGCGGCUGGUGCGGGGAGGGCGUUAGAGGGUGUGUAGGUUUGGUGAAAGAGGGGAGAGGGUGGGGGUGGAGGACGCGGACGCUCCUCGCUAAGUAGCUCCUUGGCGACUCGUUCCGGUAGCUGCGCACGACCUAGGCCACAGAGACAAAGAGAGAGCACGAGCUAAGGCUAGGUGGGGGAAGAGAGCCGCGCCGCGUACGACCUUUCGAGCGACGACGCCACCCGGAACUGCCGCCGCUCGUCCUUCGGCCGCUCCAUCUGGUGUUCCCGGAAGUACCCGAGGUGGACGCGGGAGAACGACCGCCUGACGACCAGCGGAGCCGGAGGGCGUCGUAGAGGCUGACCGUGUUCGACGUCCAGGACCCACUCGGGCUGCUUCUUCGACUAACAGCUCACGGUCCACCGACCGGACCCCCACGAGUGGUUACGGAUGUUGAAGAUGACCGAGGGUUCUCGCGUAGGUGUAGGGCCUCGUCUUCGACCAAGUGCUCACGGUCCGCCAACUGGUCCACCACGAGUGGUUGCGGAUGACGAGGAUUACAGACGGUUCUCGAAUAGGUGUACGUUCCGUCAGGCCGCAGGGCGGGGGGUUCUACGCCCAGACGUACGAGCCACUACGGUUCGUACACCCCCUUCAUACACGGCAAAUGACCAUAACGAUUCGUUAAGAGGAGAGAUAUUGUAUCAAACUACCAGUACUACAUGUUUGUUCAUUACAAACCAAGAAUCAAGAAUGACGUUAUGCCUAACAGCUAACCACGUUUUGAUCACUUAAAGUUUAACAUAUUGAUGGCUCUCCCAUCAGUCCGAUCUACUCCUACUGUGACCUUAGGUCACCAGCCUAAAGAACAAUAGUCCGUCACAAGUUAAAGAAAGAGACGGAUGAGGUACGAUCCUGUCAAAGGGACAUAACGACGGUGAACUUCUUACAAUACGAAUGGUACCAGACGAAAAUACUUCACUAUACUAACAAACCAUGGAUGAUCCCGAUAAAAAGGAGACAUAUGUAGACGU
rnacentral:rRNA from 1 species